UACGUAGGGAGCAAGCGUUGUCCGGAAUCAUUGGGCGUAAAGCGCGCGUAGGCGGCCCUGUAAGUCCGCUGUGAAAGUCAAAGGCUCAACCUUUGAAAGCCGGUGGAUACUGCAGGGCUAGAGUCCGGAAGAGGCGAGUGGAAUUCCUGGUGUAGCGGUGGAAUGCGCAGAUAUCAGGAGGAACACCAAUAGCAAAGGCAGCUCGCUGGGACGGUACUGACGCUAAGGCGCGAAAGCGUGGGGAGCGAACAGG
rnacentral:rRNA from 1 species